rnacentral:lncRNA from 1 species
AUUUGGACGGUGACACCGGGGAGGUGUAUAUGGGAGCGGCUUUGAGAGGUUUAAGGGACAGGCUGGCGGAGCACCAGAGGGACGUGGGGGGGGCGGCGUUUGCAGCAGCACUGGCCGGGGGGGCUUGCGAGGGCGGCGUCAAUGUGGAAUGGAAGGACAGCAGAGUGAUUGGGGAGGUUGCGAGAGUGGAGGAGUUGCAUGCAGUGGAGAGUGUACAAAUAUAUAAAGGCGGACAGUGUGGGUCGGUUAUAAACGGCGGUCGGGUGGAGGCAUUGGAGAGGCCCUGGAGAUGUUUAUUGCGAGGAUGGCGCUUUGAAGCCUAUUAACAUAG